UACGUAGGGACCAAGCGUUGUUCGGAUUUACUGGGCGUAAAGGGCGCGUAGGCGGCAAUUCAAGUCAUCUGUGAAAUCUCCGGGCUUAACCCGGAACGGUCAGGUGAUACUGUUUUGCUAGAGUGCGGAAGGGGCAAUCGGAAUUCUCGGUGUAGCGGUGAAAUGCGUAGAUAUCGAGAGGAACACCAGAGGUGAAGACGGGUUGCUGGGCCGACACUGAC
rnacentral:rRNA from 1 species